GACGAACGCUGGCGGCGUGCUUAACACAUGCAAGUCGAACGGAAAGGCCCUGCUUUUGUGGGGUGCUCGAGUGGCGAACGGGUGAGUAACACGUGAGUAACCUGCCCUUGACUUUGGGAUAACUUCAGGAAACUGGGGCUAAUACCGGAUAGGAGCUCCUGCUGCAUGGUGGGGGUUGGAAAGUUUCGGCGGUUGGGGAUGGACUCGCGGCUUAUCAGCUUGUUGGUGGGGUAGUGGCUUACCAAGGCUUUGACGGGUAGCCGGCCUGGGAGGGUGACCGGGGACCAGGGGCCUGAGAGAGGGCGCAGAGGCGAACGGGGGGCAACGGGGGGAAGUCUGGCACAGUGGGGGGGAGUGUGUGGCGGAGGCCCCCGGUGCGGAAAGCCGUCUUUGGGGGGGUGAACCGCUUUCGCUUGAGACGAAGCGGUAUUGACGGUACCGGGAAAAUAAGCACCGGCUAACUACGUG
rnacentral:rRNA from 1 species